rnacentral:rRNA from 1 species
CAGCCGCCGCGGUAAUACGAAGGUCCCGAGCGUUGUUCGGAAUCACUGGGCGUAAAGGGAGCGUAGGCGGCGUGGUAAGUCAGAUGUGAAAUCCCGGGGCUCAACCCCGGAACUGCAUCCGAUACUGCCGUGCUAGAGGAUUGGAGAGGUAGCUGGAAUUCUUGGUGUAGCAGUGAAAUGCGUGGAGAUCAAGAGGAACACUCGUGGCGAAAGCGAGCUACUGGACAAUAUCUGACGCUGAGGCUCGAAGGCCAGGGUAGCGAAAGGGAUUAGAGACCCCGGUAGUCCCUGUCUCUUAUAC